rnacentral:rRNA from 1 species
CGAACGGACGAGAAGCUUGCUUCUCUGAUGUUAGCGGCGGACGGGUGAGUAACACGUGGAUAACCUACCUAUAAGACUGGGAUAACUUCGGGAAACCGGAGCUAAUACCGGAUAAUAUUUUGAACCGCAUGGUUCAAAAGUGAAAGACGGUCUUGCUGUCACUUAUAGAUGGAUCCGCGCUGCAUUAGCUAGUUGGUAAGGUAACGGCUUACCAAGGCAACGAUGCAUAGCCGACCUGAGAGGGUGAUCGGCCACACUGGAACUGAGACACGGUCCAGACUCCUACGGGAGGCAGCAGUAGGGAAUCUUCCGCAAUGGGCGAAAGCCUGACGGAGCAACGCCGCGUGAGUGAUGAAGGUCUUCGGAUCGUAAAACUCUGUUAUUAGGGAAGAACAUAUGUGUAAGUAACUGUGCACAUCUUGA